UAAUAAAAUCCAAAGUUACAGCCCAAAAUUUUUAAAAGGAAAUAUAUUGACUAUAGAAAUUAAAUUUUCUACAGCUUUUAUCAAAUGCUUUAAAAAAUAUUCAAAGUCAAAAAAAUAAAACCAAAACAAAAAUCUUACAGUCUAUUUUUCAAAACAAAAAAUCUAAAGCUACAAGCAACAACCAAUCAACCCCUAAAUCACUUGAAGAAACUUUGCCUUACAUAACGUUCUAUCACUAGGCGAUGCCCACUAUUUACAUUCUAUGUACCUACCUAUCAAAUCUAUUCUAAACCAAAUUAACAUUUAAAGAUAUAAUUUAUAUUUUCAAGAACUAUAGGUAAUUAGUACAUGAGAAUGACUUUUACUAAUAUCAACAUGUAAGAACUUAUUAAAGUUAAUUACUAAUUAGGAGAUAUACACUAAGCGUAGACGCUUAACUUUAAUUUACUUUCUUAUUUUUAUAUCUAGUUUAUAAAAAAUAUGUAUGAUCAUACCAACAGUAUAAAUUAAAAAAGAACGAUCAUCUAACCAAAUUUGAAAAAAAAGAGUCUAACAACACCAUUAAUUAGGACAUAUAUAAAACCUAUUAUAUAAUGCGUGAUGAGUAUAGUGAAGAGCCAGAUUUCUCUCCAAAUAAUCUCGAUAAGAAGUAUUAUCCGUAAAAAAAAAAAAAAGAGUUCCCACUCGAUUUUUUUGGUUUAACGCCACGUGUGCAUAAUAUCUAAUCGAACAGCUCUCUUGUCUGAAAGCAAUGGGCAAAUCUGUGGAACCCAAAGACUCUGACACGAAACUAUGGGUCCUAAAACAGCGUCGUUUAGCGGAAGCUUGCGUACUAAAACACAGAAAAAAAAAACGAAAACUGCAAGGAUUCAAAAAAGCUCUUAAUCAGAAGCAAACAAAAACCACCUCUGACAGUUGAAUUUUUUUUAGAUAAAAAAGCCUCUAUCUUCUUUGUUUUUGGUUACUGUUUUCACGAGAGUGUCUUCUCUAUUCGUUGUUACUCUUUCCUUUCCUUCUGAGUUAUGGUGUGAAAUGAUGGCAGCAGCAGAAGCAAGAGCAGUGUGGCAAAGAACAGCCAACCGUUACUUUGUCCAAGAAGACUCUAAAAGAGCUCCCAAGCUAACAACCUCUUCCCACUCUUCUUCAUCAUCAACGAAACAGGUUCAAGAAGAUCCUGUCUCUUCUCCUCCUCCUGUUGUUCGUCCACAGAACCAACCAUCUUCUCCAGGUUUCAUGCCUCUGAAUAUUCCUCUUCUGUUGGGUCAUCACAUUCAAGAAGAUUUGCUCCUGGGAUGGACUGUUGGAUGGAUGUAGUUGAUAUCUUUGUAGUUCAAAGCGAAGAGGAGAAUAGAGAGAGACCUGGAAAGUUUUGUUUUUUUUUCUUUGAAAAAUGUAACUCUUCUUGAAAUGAGUUUUUUAAGAUUUACUUGUAUUGUAAUGCUGCAGCUUAUGGAUUUGGUUAAAUGAGAGAAUGUAAUUUGUUGUAAGAAUUUUGUUAAAUAUUGUGUGUUUAUAAUA